CCUACUCAAGAUGGAGUCGCUCUGGUUUGAACGCCUCUGACACUUCCACUCUCAAGGAAUGGUGUUUUUAUUCUCUUCUCCCCAGAAUGUACUUCUGGUCUGUCCCGCUGUUCCAUUCCACAGCAUUUUAGGAGGUUCUCAAGAGUGUCCUAAACAAGCAGAGAAGAAUGGUGAGACUUACCCAUUCCUAGUUUAAGAAAUGAGUGAAAUGGGGUCUGAGUUAUAUCACAGCUACAGUUUAGACUCCUGUGGUACAGUUGGCUUUCCCAGGCUCCCGGCGUCCAUGCUGUCUCGGCGCUAUCUCGCAGCCUGACGCCACGCGCCAUCUGCUGGCCUUGAGCUGCAUAGCUCUAGAGUAACUUCAGAGGCCACGGGGGAACAAAGAGCACUCGCCUACUUGACUGAGCUCCGACAGGCCGUCCCUCUGCUUCAGGUGUAGGCGUGAACAAGUCCAGACCACUACCUUAACAGCUUUAUACAAUUAUUCCCAAAUCUUCUAAACUGACAGUGAGGGAGAGUAAUUUGAAAGGACUGCUCAACUCAACGUCAUUUGAAGAUUUGCACCACAGCUGCAUUUUUCCAAUUUCCUGGCAUCUAUUCUGCUCUCCUGGACUUUUCAAAAACAAUUUCUUUCAGAUCCCUGGAGGCCUCUCCCAGGGCCUGUGGUGUGGAGAGUUGGACUUGACCCUACUGUAAGAGACCCAACUUCCAAAGACUGCAUCAGAUGAAAGGCUCUCCAUAUAGACUACAGACUUGUCAGCUGGUUAAGGAGGCAAACAGAACAGUCUGCUACAAACUCCAGUCCAUGUAUCUGUGCUGAAAAUAAAAGGAGUCUUCAGGAAUCAAAGAAGAAAAUAUUUUUAUAAAGAAAUUUUAUUGCAUAAUUCUUGUAUACAAUAAACAUAGGAAAAGGGUUUUUAAUGAAAAUUCAUGUCAUUUUUCA
rnacentral:lncRNA from 1 species